rnacentral:lncRNA from 10 species
GACGACUGCCGUUCAGCACCUGCGUAAGCACCUCUCGGCCAGGGUGAGGCCAAUGGAGUAGGCGGGGCAUUUUGCGUGCUACAUUCUAAGAAGUAUUGGUUGUGAUGUGAUGGGAAGAACACAGCAGUCCUGUAUACAGCACUAAAGCUGAUGAAUGAUCUAUCUUACACUAGCCAAAGUGAAGUCUGAAAGAUGUGAAGAAAUGCAGUACAUUUGUACAUUGGCACAUUGCCCUGCAGAGGCUGGCAACACUCCAGAAAUGAUGGAGACAGGAUACAUCAACCUGUAUCACUGAAGAUGAUGUGGAGCAGAGCCUUUGUGGUCCUAAGAAACAUGUAUAAGAUAAAAACUUUUGUGGUUUUUCAAUCAUUUGAGGUUUUAGGAUUGUUCAUUGUAUCAACACAACUUGCCUAUUCUGACUGCUAAGGUUGUUCACUGGGUUAUUCAUAAAGGCAAAAUGAGGUUGUGAGCCACAGAAAGAGAGGACAGGAUGGUUCCAUGGUGUCCCCAGCUUAUUUUUUAUUGUUUCCUGUUUAUUGAUCUCAUCCAUUGGAGAACUCCAUGAAAGCACAUAUCUAUGCCACACUCACCACUGUAUUAUAGAACUCAAAUGUCGGUUGCAUGAAUAAAAUAUGUAACAGGAAGGCCACUAUACCUGGCCCUGACCAAUUACAAAUUUAGUUUUUCAUGAGGUUUUUUAAAGGGCAUCCAGCACACCACAGAACCCUGUGCACAACAAACUACCCCCAAAGUUAGCGGCUUAAAACACUUUCUCCCAAUUCUGAAUUCCGCUGGGUCGUUCUGCUUAGUGUAGUAUCUACUAAGUCUGGGACAUCCCAGAUAAUUUCUUCAUGCAUGUCUGGUGCUCAGUUGGCAUGUCUGAAAAAGCUGGGUUUGGCCAGACAUCUUUCUGUCCACCUAGUUUCUCCAGCAGAGUAACCAGACCUCUCUACACAGUAGCUUAGGGUGCCAAGAGCAAAUGUUCCAAGAGGGCAAGCCCUGAUGUGCAAAUCCUUAAGCCUCUGCUUGACAAAUGUCCUCUGGGCCAAAUCACAUCGGCCCAGAGUCAGUGUGGGAGAGGACUAACUACACAAGAGUGCAAAUACCAGGUAUGGUUCAUGGGGGCCCCCAGUGUUAACAGUCUACCCAAUCUGGUGAUCAUAAGGCAGACAACUGAAGUCAUGAUGCUUCGUUUUACAAAUAAAAAAGCAAAGGCUCAGAAAUGAAAUCACUUGCCCAGGAUAACACAUGUUGUAAAUGGAAAACAAAUAUUUGUUUACUGGUAAUAAGUCAAAGGCUAGUUAAGCCUUUCACUAUAUCUCAUUGCCCCUAAUCUUUAAACUCCACUUUCCUUUUCCUUAUUCUUAGCCAACUGUGAAUAUCUGUGUUCAAGAAGUUAACAAUGUAGAUAAUCCAAAAUGAAGUGUGUUUUGUAGCAUUAUCUGAGCAGUAGAUAUUAGAUGACUAAUGUAGUAUGCUCUGGAAACUCGUAACAGUUCAAAGGAAAUAAAGCCAUUUUAUAAUGAAACCACUUUAAAAAUCCUCCACUGUUUUCAUCUUCACGAGAAUGACAAAGCACCAACUUAAAGUAAACCAACUCUUUCCCCUUCUCUGAGCUUGCUGUAUUUCCUAAGAAGGAAGGAAAAAGUCAAACAAGAAUUAAGUCACUAGGAACUUGAUGAAAGUUCUACCACAGUAUAUGUACCCAAAUUUACAGUAUCAAAUGGUUUC